AGCGGAGGAAAAGAAACCAACCGGGAUUGCCCUAGUAACGGCGAGUGAAGCGGCAAGAGCUCAAAUUUGAAAGCUGGCCCCCUCGGGGUCCGCAUUGUAAUUUGCAGAGGAUGCUUCGGGAACGGCCCCCAUCUAAGUGCCCUGGAACGGGCCGUCAUAGAGGGUGAGAAUCCCGUCUGGGAUGGGGUGGCCGCGCCCGUGUGAAGCUCCUUCGACGAGUCGAGUUGUUUGGGAAUGCAGCUCUAAUUGGGUGGUAAAUUUCAUCUAAAGCUAAAUAUUGGCCGGAGACCGAUAGCGCACAAGUAGAGUGAUCGAAAGAUGAAAAGCACUUUGAAAAGAGAGUUAAACAGCACGUGAAAUUGUUGAAAGGGAAGCGCUUGCGACCAGACUCGCCCGCGGGGUUCAGCCGGCACUCGUGCCGGUGUACUUCCCCGCGGGCGGGCCAGCGUCGGUUUGGGCGGCCGGUCAAAGGCCUCUGGAAGGUAACGCCUCUCGGGGCGUCUUAUAGCCAGGGGUGCCAUGCGGCCUGCCCGGACCGAGGAACGCGCUUCGGCUCGGACGCUGGCAUAAUGGUCGUAAGCGACCCGUCUU
rnacentral:rRNA from 1 species